rnacentral:rRNA from 1 species
CGGAGGAAAAGAAAAUAACAAUGAUUUCCCUAGUAACGGCGAGUGAAGAGGAAAGAGCUCAAAGUUGGAACCUGUUUGGCUUAGCUAAACCGGAUUGUAAACUGUAGAAGUGUUUUCCAGACACGCCUGGUAAAAAAGUCCUUUGGAACAGGGCAUCAUAGAGGGUGAGAAUCCCGUCUUUGGCCAGAGCUGUUGUCUUUUGUGAUACAUUUUCAAAGAGUCAGGUUGUUUGGGAAUGCAGCCUAAAUUGGGUGGUAAAUCUCACCUAAAGCUAAAUAUUUGCGAGAGACCGAUAGCGAACAAGUACCGUGAGGGAAAGAUGAAAAGAACUUUGAAAAGAGAGUUAAACAGUAUGUGAAAUUGUUAAAAGGGAACCGUUUGGAGCCAGACUGGCUUGACUGUAAUCAAUCUAGGCUUCGGCCUGGAUGCACUUGCGGUUUAUGCCUGCCAACGACAAUUUUUUUUGAGGGAAAAAACUAUUUGGAAUGUGGCCCCCCUCGGGGGGUGUUAUAGCCUUUUAGAAAAUACCUUGAAUUGGAUUGAGGAACGCAGUGAAUGCCUUUAGGCAAGAUUGCUGGGCGCUUUCGCUAAUAAAUGCUAGAAUUUCUGCUUCGGGUGGUGCUAGUGUUUAAAGGAGAAACUCGUCUGGUAUAUUUUUUAUUCGCUUAGGUUGUUGGCUUAAUGACUCUAAUGAC